rnacentral:lncRNA from 1 species
UCCUCUCUUCCUUCUUUCCUGGUUCUCUGCUUCUUUUGGUAAUGCUGAAGGGAAGAGCCUGGGGCCAGUCCCGGGCUCCUGUUUGGGAUUUCCCUUGGAUCUGAAAGGAAGGUUCGGGUGGCGCGGUGCCGACGCUGGGAGUGGCAACCCCGACGCGCUUUCCGUCAGGUCGCCCGUGGCGUUGACAUCAGUGGGAGGGGAUGCGGCCAACACCACGCCACAACUCGAGAUGGGCACGGUGCGUGGUAGUCGACCACUCCCCAUUCUCCUUCCCUUCGCGACAUCGGGGGGAGCCAUAGGAGAGAUUCGCUGCCAACAGGGGCGAAUCUGGCUCCUCCUGGACGCAAUUUUCUUUGUCAGACGGGAAGGCUCCUUGCUUUCUCACACGUCUUUGGGACAUGCAGUGUCUUCUAACGUCAAGGCUCCCGGGGGCGACCAUGCUCUCUGUGGGAGGGUUUAGAGAGCAUGGUGCCCGGCAUGGUGGUCGCGCCAAGGUCUUCGGGUGGUAGUGAUGCGGACGGCACCGACAACCCACGAUGCGUUAAGAACAGGGACGACCGUUUCGACGAGUCGUGUUUGCCGGUGACUCCGUGCCACCCAUCUGGUCUUACGGCAGCGUCACCAUCCACGUCUGACCUCCAGUUUCUUCCUCCAUGUCGGGGAGCGGCGCCGCCCUGAUCCUAGGGAGGCGCCGAAUCCCAGCUGUGCGCACCUCCGGCCCCUUCGACCUCUUCUUGCAGGAGAUGGACAGGGGCAAAGGCGUAACGGAGCACUUAUCUUUUUUCAAUCUUAAACUAGCCGGUAAUUGCCAAAUUUUAAUUCAAAUAAUGUAAUCUCUCAAGUCCAUCUUUGUAUUCUAUAAUGCUUGUACUUGUAACUUCAUAUGAAUGAAAAAGAUGAAUCUUGUCG